ACAGAGUACAGACACAGUACCCAAGAAACUCAGGAAAACAAAGGUACUUGAUCGUGAAGCUGCAAUUUGAUCACCAGACAGAUAAAGACAAACAACAGAGAAGAGGCAGUAAUCUCUGGUCAGUGGUGACAAAGGUUAAAUCAAGCUAACUCAGCCACAGAUAAAAGGCAUUCCUGGAGCCAUGGAUUAUAAAUUCCACUGUGACAUUUGGCCUGUGUCUCUUGACCACCCGACUAAAGGUUCAGGGUCAUAUGCCUGUAUUUGCCUUGGGGUUUUUUUUGCUGGCUUCCUCAGAGAAUUGUGAGCAAUGACUCAGCUAAAGAGCUUGGCUUGGCCUCUGGAGCACGAAGAGGCCGUAUGACAGGAAUGCCAUGCUCCACUGGAUCCUGUGGUAAAAUGGAAGGACAGGCGGCUGAAAAACAGCUCUGUGUCAUCAUAAUGACAGAACCAAAGGAAACCCUCUCUGAGCUCUAGGAUCAGCUAGAACCACUGUGUAUGAUACACGCUAAGCGCUCCUUCCUUUGUGAUUGCCUGUUUGCCUCGUCCACUCUACACAUCUAGAUUAAAUGGUUGACUGCUCCACUGGUACACCAGACACACUUAAAGUGGGGAAGUGAUGCAGAGCAGACAAAAACUGAGGGAAACAGUCAAAGCUGUCCCCUUAUAUCUCUUCUUUAUUACCCUGUCAUACCUCACCUGUCCACUACACAACCCUCACUAAGACACUGAACAAAGCCCUAAAUUUAACCCAUAAAAAUGUAUGAUCGGAUACAGCAUACUACAGUAAAUAUGAGCGCAUCUGUUGAUUUGUGAUAGAUAUUUGUGGGCAUCUAAAUCACGGAUCACAGGUACAUCACAGCAAACUGCACUGAGUUGCACAGGGAUAUCAUUCAAAAGAACAUACAGAAAAAAACUACCUGCUUUUGGACCUUGUUUAGCACAGAGCAUUUAUCAGGAAGAAAUGAGCGAUAAAUCAAGUGAAGGACCCAUACGUUUUGACCGGGUAGAUAAUCUCUGUCUUUAAAGGAAAUAAGAAAACUAUGGAGAAAAAUUUGAAGUUAGAACAAGUCAGACAGCAUUUUCAAUUCACACCCAUAAGUACUGAUUGUUGAUGGGUGGGCUCUUGUUUGAUUUGGACAGGAAUCAGUUUAAUGAGCUGCUGGGUGACUGCCAGCGCUCUCCGAGUCCACACAUUUCAGUUCAUUCAUUUGUUGGAUUUACAAUCAAACACCUGCUGGCGAGGGAUUUGUUUUCGUAAGCACUGUAAGCUUUUAAACAAACAACCCUUUCUACGGAUCCACAUGUGUUUAAAUAACUAAAAUAGAUUGUGAAAACACAUCUUCAGUCACCCAUAAUAUAAUCCACAUAAUUUAUGGAUAUUCAGUUCAUGGUUCAGUUGAUUUUAUCAUUUCUUUUUUAGUGAUAUAUACUUUAAUGUUCAUUCGGUUCCAGAGAAUGUAAUUUAAAAAAAAAGAAGUAUGAUAAUGAAGUAAAAAAAGACCAGGAUUGAAAUGUUCCUUUAACAAGUUAUCACCCAUCAACAUGUGAAGACAAUCCAUUUAUCAGACAGAAAAGGGCAGAUUUCAUUUCAAAGAGCAAACAGAACGCAAAUUAACUGCUUGAAUCUGCCAAGUCUCUCAUACUGCACCACAUAUCUCAGAUCAGAUCAGAGAACCCUUCUGGCCAAUCAAAGGGCGCCUGUCUACGUCUAUCAUUUUUCCAAUUCAGUUGAGAUGAAACAAUGCCCACUUUCCAUCUGACAAAGAUCUCAAUGGUAUACAAAUUUUUUCAUACAGGUCUCAAUGUGUUUUGCAAUAUAUUCAAUGCAGCAACUUUAGCAAAAAUGUUAUGACUUUUUUAAUUUGUGGUUUGUAGAAUAGGAUUUGAAGUGUUGUGUUGUGUUUGUGUGACAUAAAAAAAUCUACAUAAAACAA